rnacentral:lncRNA from 1 species
AAAAAAAAAAAGAAAGAUCAACUGCAAUGACUCGAAGCCGAGAAUGUGGAGAUACCGCCUCAUUCACACACACUCACUCUUAGACUGAAAAUCCUUCACCCCUCCCUCCUCACAUCCCGUGCACCGACAGCAUCGCGUGGCCGAGGUUACCGCGGGCGGAUGGAUGGAUGGAGGUCGGCUCCCAUCUCUCUCUCUCUCUCUCUCUCUCUUUCCCCUUCUGCUGAGCAGCCCGGGGACGCCGACCCCACGCUGUCGGAAGGGGCUGCCCAUUGCCAAGCAGAGCCCGGUGCUCCCACUCCAGAAGACGACCAAGGAGGCCAAGGCUUUCGACGCAAAUCAGUGCUCAGCUCGCUAAACAGCGCUGCUGCUGCUGUUGCCGUGGCGGGGUUUUCUAUGUGGUGUGUUUCAAGCCUCACUCACUCAUCAUCCUCUCACUCCCAAGCAUUCAGCAUCCGUGCACACUCCUCACUUCCGGGUUGUUGGUUGGUUGGUUUUUUUUUUUGUUGUUGGUUGGUUGUUUUGUUGGUUUUUGUUUUGUUUUGUUGGUUUUUUUUUUUUCCUUUUGAAAAAAAAUUGGAGAUUUUUCCAGUGGGGGUCUCAGGUGUCAUCCCGAUGGUAACAGAUCAAGCUUGAUUCUUCAGUUUUCUCAGCUCUUUAGUCGCCCAGGUAGCAAGGGUUUUUGUUUUGUUCGUCUUGGAUCUUCUUCCUUCAGUUAGCAGUUCAUGUAUCAUGGGUCUAGCUUCUACUAAUUUCAGUACAUCUUUUCCAAACGCUGUACACAAAUCCCCUAUCAGUCCAGCAGAACACGCCACUACUACGUCUGUAUGAUCCUCAUCUCCAGCAAUGUGGUCAAUGUAAGACAGAAUAAAUUCUACUCUGGGCUGCACCAGCAUCACAUCCGGGUGCACAUUUUCUUGGUCUCCCUUCAAUCCCUGAAUGAUGCCCGUGUAAGCUUCCAGGCAG